UUGUCAGGUAGGAUGUUAUUUACUUGUUCCUCUAUUCAGAGGACAGGUGCAACAUGACAUGGGAGUUCGCAUGAUUCAUGAUUAACAUCUCUGCAUGAUUAAAGCUAACAAUACCUUAAUCAUUCCUGUUUCCAAA